AAUGGUGGUUAUAGCGUAGGUGUUCCACCUCUUCCCAUUCCGAACAGAGAAGUUAAGCCCUACAGCGCCGAUGGUACUGCAUUUGUGGGAGAGUAGGUCGCCACCUUUU
rnacentral:rRNA from 2 species